UGCGUAGGCGGCUUUCUAAGUUGGAUGUGAAAACUCUGGGCUCAACCCAGAGACUGCAUCCAAAACUGGAGAGCUUGGGUUCUGGAGGGGAAAGCGGAAUUCCUGGUGUAGCGGUGAAAUGCGUAGAUAUCAGGAGGAGCACCGGUGGCGAAGGCGGCUUUCUGGACAGAUACCGACGCUGAGGCACGAAAGCUAGGGAGCAAACA
rnacentral:rRNA from 1 species